rnacentral:tRNA from 1 species
UCCUUCGUGGCGCAAUUGGCUAGCGCGUCUGACUGUUAAUCAGGAGGUUGAAAGUUCGAGCCUUUCCGAAGGAG